GCGCUCGUAGCUCAGCGGAUAGAGCAGUGGACUUCUAAUCCACCGGUCGCAGGUUCGAAUCCUGCCGGGCGCG
rnacentral:tRNA from 2 species